AUCCCUUCUCGGCCUUUUGGCUAAGAUCAAGUGUAGUACCUAAUUCACAAUCAACAGUGCUGCCCAUGUAAUCUUGAGAGAUAUCAUGGAAUAAAAGAUAGAAUUUUGUACUUAGAAUCAAGAAGAACUGACUUCAGUUCCCAUCUCAAACCCUUACCUGCGUGAUCCAAGGCAAGAUCCUUU
ensembl:snRNA U2 U2 spliceosomal RNA